GGGCUUGUGGUUUAGUGGUAUAAUACUCCCUUAGCACCGUAGCCUGAGCACCGAAAGAUGCAUCGUGGCACUUGCCUGGGAGUGGUCCGGGGUUCGAUUCCCCGCGAGUCCA